GAUGAACGCUGGCGGCGUGCUUAACACAUGCAAGUCGAACGGUGAAGCAGGAGCUUGCCCCUGUGGAUCAGUGGCGAACGGGUGAGUAACACGUGAGCAAUCUGCCCUGGACUCUGGGAUAAGCGUUGGAAACGACGUCUAAUACCGGAUACGAGGCGUGGGGGCAUCCCCAACGCCUGGAAAGAACUUCGGUCCAGGAUGAGCUCGCGGCCUAUCAGGUAGUUGGUGAGGUAACGGCUCACCAAGCCGACGACGGGUAGCCGGCCUGAGAGGGUGACCGGCCACACUGGGACUGAGACACGGCCCAGACUCCUACGGGAGGCAGCAGUGGGGAAUAUUGCACAAUGGGCGCAAGCCUGAUGCAGCAACGCCGCGUGAGGGACGACGGCCUUCGGGUUGUAAACCUCUUUUAGCAGGGAAGAAGCGAAAGUGACGGUACCUGCAGAAAAAGCACCGGCUAACUACGUGCCAGCCGCCCGCAGUAAUAC
rnacentral:rRNA from 1 species